GUAGGUGGCAAGCGUUGUCCGGAAUUAUUGGGCGCAAAGCGCGCGCAGGCGGUUCUUUAAGUCUGAUGUGAAAGCCCACGGCUCAACCGUGGAGGGUCAUUGGAAACUGGAGAACUUGAGUACAGAAGAGGAAAGCGGAAUUCCACGUGUAGCGGUGAAAUGCGUAGAGAUGUGGAGGAACACCAGUGGCGAAGGCGGCUUUCUGGUCUGUAACUGACGCUGAGGCGCGAAAGCGUGGGGAGCAAACAGGAUUAGAUACCCUGGUAGUCCACGCCGUAAACGAUGAGUGCUAAGUGUUAGGGGGUUUCCGCCCCCCUUAGUGCUGCAGCUAACGCAUUAAGCACUCCGCCCUGGGAGUACGGCCGCAAGGCUG
rnacentral:rRNA from 1 species